GCAGAAGUAUUACAUCUUUUAAAUAUAAAACAUAAACAUAAGUACGAGACUCUAAAUUUUCUUACUUAUAUUAUUAAACAAAAGUACAAAAUAAUAACCUUAAUAUCAGAGUUUAGACUUUAGAAAUUUCUUCUGUAUAAUCACUCACUCUGUAGUGGUAUCUUCAAUAUCUGGAGGAUGAUAGGGGGUGAGAUAAAAUAUCUCAAUAAGUAAUAUUAUGAAAUCAUAGUAUAGUACAUGCAAUAUAUAGUUUCUUUACAAAUAACAAAAUAUAUAUCAUAUAAUCUUUCCAAAAUGUAUACGAAUCAGAAGAUGAAAGCACAAAUCAAAAAACAUAUUCAUUAUAUACUUCAUCACUAUUAUGGAGGAUCAAUCAGUUACUAUACAUUAUGCAUAAGUACAGAUACUUAUCAUUGGUUCCCCAUGUACCCGAACACAGAACGACAUACAUGAGUACCUUGAAAUACUAUUACGCCCCAAACAUGGAAUGACUAGGGCAUGCGAAUCAGACUAUUUUCCCAUACAUCCAAACACGUAACGGUUAUGUAUGGGUACACACUUAUCACUUUGCCAAUACACCUAAAUACGUAACGAUUAUGUACGGGCAGAUUGAAGCCUAACAUAAUGCAGGUGUUUUCAAAGUAACUUCUUUCCACAAUAAGUGAUAUACACAUAUCAAAAUCACAUUUUGAAAAUACAAAGCGAAAUAAUACUUAUAUUAAAAUAAAACUUUAGCAAAUACUUACUUAGCAAAUUCGGAAGAUAAAUAAAAUACGUGUACAUUUUUAUAUUGAAAAUACGAAAAAUACUUCAAAAUUAUGUAGGCUAUGAAUCUAUAAUAUCCACUUACCUUAGGUCCGUAGCAGUCGUAGUCUUAAUUCCAGCAGAGUUCCAAAUUUAUUUAUGACUUUUUCUUCUAAAAAAUUCGAUAGAGUUUUGCGAUGAUUUUUUGUCAUUUUCUUGACUCAAAAAUAUCCAACACAAUAUUAAAAAACUAAUUCCAAAAAUCAAAGAGAAACUGAACUUCAAAAAUUAAGAAAAGCUUAUCAUUCUAAUGGUUUAUAACUUCCUUUUGAUCGUGAUCCUUAUUCUUCUUCUUUUCCUCUUUCUCUGCUCUCACAAAUUUAGCAGAGUUUCUUCAAGGUUUUUAUCUAAAAGCUCAAAAUACUCUCAAAUAUCACACACUUCGUACUCCCUCUUCUUUCUUCACCUAUAUGCUUUUCAUUAUUUUUCUAUCAUCCGAAAUGUCUCUUCCUCCCUUCUCUUAUCCCCUAUUUAUAAGAGUGGGGAGCCACGAGGAAAAGAUUGCCACUAUUUCGUCAUACUAUUUUAUCUAAAAGUUGUCACUUUUCAUCAUGUCACUUCACUUAAAAGGUUACCACUCUUCACAUGUCAUUUUAUCUAUAAGCCCUUUUCACAUGCCACUUUAUCUAAA
rnacentral:lncRNA from 1 species